UACGUAGGGUGCGAGCGUUGUCCGGAAUUAUUGGGCGUAAAGGGCUCGUAGGCGGUUUGUCGCGUCGGGAGUGAAAACAGCUGGCUUAACUGGUUGCUUGCUUUCGAUACGGGCAGACUAGAGGGAUGCAGGGGAGAACGGAAUUCCUGGUGUAGCGGUGAAAUGCGCAGAUAUCAGGAGGAACACCGGUGGCGAAGGCGGUUCUCUGGGCAUUCCCUGACGCUGAGGAGCGAAAGUGUGGGGAGCGAACAGG
rnacentral:rRNA from 1 species